GUUGACCUCGGAUCAGGUAGGAAUACCCGCUGAACUUAAGCAUAUCAAUAAGGCGGAGGAA
rnacentral:rRNA from 7 species